GGGUCGUUAGCUCAGUUGGUAGAGCAGUUGACUUUUAAUCAAUUGGUCACAGGUUCGAAUCCUGCACGACCCACCA
rnacentral:tRNA from 8 species